rnacentral:lncRNA from 1 species
GUUGAGGGAGAGGUUGUUGUCCUGGCACCACAUUGCCAGUUGCCUUACCUCCUCGUCGUACUACAACCGUGGUAUCAUAAGCAAACUUGAUGAUGGAGUUGGUGUCGUGCAAAGCCACACAGUCAUGGGUGAACAGGGAGUACAGCAGAGGGCUGAGGACACAACCAUGGGGGGCUCCUGGGUUAAGAGUCAGUGUGGGCAUUCUCUGCUCUGCUAUGAGAGUUGGUUAUCGACUACGAACAAUCAGAGGGGGCAUACUAGUGUUGUUCUGGGACCAUAACGUGAGUCUGACUGGGGAAGAGGGGUCUCCUCGAGGGACCCGCGUGUGUGUGUGUGUGGUGGGGGAAUCCGAGGUCCAUCAACCAGGACUAGACAUUGGCCAAUCAGAAUCCACCCAUCCCUGCACAAUUGGCACUCCUCUCAAACGGUUACAGCUGUAUGUGCAUUCACAUAGCAAGCCUACUCUUCAGCUGGGCUGGAGGUUAGGAUGACUGGUUUUAUUGUGUGUGUUUGUUGUGUAGGUGAUUGUAUGCAGGUCUGUUGGAGAUUCUGGAGUGCCUGAGCCCCUUACUACCCAGAGAGUGGAACACCUGGUUCUCUGUCUUGUUCAACCACAUGAUUUGCUUACACUUUACAACAACUCUCAUGAAUAGGCCAUUAUAAAUGGUUUAUAAAUUAAUAUGUUAGAAAUGCUUAGGAUGUUUUGUUUAGAAGUGCUUCAUUAAUGUUAACAAAUAAGAAAAUAAAGUAUUAACAGCAUGUACACUGUUUAUGAAUAUUAAUGCUUAUACAU